rnacentral:rRNA from 1 species
UACAGAGGGUGCAAGCGUUACUCGGAAUUACUGGGCGUAAAGCGCGCGUAGGUGGUUUGUUAAGUUGGAUGUGAAAGCCCCGGGCUCAACCUGGGAACUGCAUUCAAAACUGACAAGCUAGAGUAUGGUAGAGGGUGGUGGAAUUUCCUGUGUAGCGGUGAAAUGCGUAGAUAUAGGAAGGAACACCAGUGGCGAAGGCGACCACCUGGACUGAUACUGACACUGAGGUGCGAAAGCGUGGGGAGCAAACAGG